rnacentral:rRNA from 1 species
UACGUAGGGCGCAAGCGUUUGUCCGGAAUUAUUGGGCGUAAAGCGCACGUAGGCGGAUUGUUAAGUCAGGGGUGAAAUCCUGGAGCUCAACUCCAGAACUGCCUUUGAUACUGGCAAUCUCGAGUCCGGAAGAGGUGAGUGGAACUCCUAGUGUAGAGGUGGAAUUCGUAGAUAUUAGGAAGAACACCAAUUGCGAAGGCAGCUCGCUGGGACGUUACUGGACGCUGAGACGCGAAAGCGUGGGGAGCAAACAGGGGAUUAA